ACAAAGACCCCCUAGAGAUCUUGUUAUUGUGCACAUUCUGGACCAAAGGUCUAGGAAAGUCCUAAGAAUGUGCAUUUCUAAUGAGCUCCCAGGUGAUGUCCAA
rnacentral:pre_miRNA from 1 species